rnacentral:rRNA from 1 species
ACGCUGGCGGCGUGCCUAAUACAUGCAAGUCGAACGGUCUUUCUAUGGAAGCUUGCUUCCACUGAGAAGAUAGUGGCGAACGGGUGAGUAACACGUGGGUAACCUGCCCAUAAGAGGGGGAUAACAUCCGGAAACGGGUGCUAAUACCGCAUAGUUUUCUUGGUCGCAUGAUCGGGAAAGGAAAGACGGCCUUUGUGCUGUCGCUUAUGGAUGGACCCGCGGCGUAUUAGUUAGUUGGUGAGGUAACGGCUCACCAAGACGAUGAUACGUAGCCGACCUGAGAGGGUGAUCGGCCACAUUGGGACUGAGACACGGCCCAAACUCCUACGGGAGGCAGCAGUAGGGAAUCUUCCGCAAUGGACGAAAGUCUGACGGAGCAACGCCGCGUGAGUGAAAGAAGGUUUUCGGAUCGUAAAACUCUGUUGUCAGAGAAGAACAAGUUGGAGAGUAACUGCUCCAGCCUUGACGGUAUCUGACCAGAAAGCCACGGCUAACUACGUGCCAGCCGCCGC